UACGAAGGGGGCUAGCGUUGCUCGGAAUCACUGGGCGUAAAGCGCACGUAGGCGGAUUGCUAAGUCAGGGGUGAAAUCCUGGAGCUCAACUCCAGAACUGCCUUUGAUACUGGCGACCUUGAGUCCGGGAGUGGUGAGUGGAACUGCGAGUGUAGAGGUGAAAUUCGUAGAUAUUCGCAAGAACACCAGUGGCGAAGGCGGCUCACUGGCCCGGUACUGACGCUGAGGUGCGAAAGCGUGGGGAGCAAACAGG
rnacentral:rRNA from 1 species